AUUGAACGCUGGCGGCAGGCCCAACACACGCCAGUCGAACGAGUGCCCCACGGGUGAGUAAUGUCUGGGAAACUGCCUGCUGGAGGGGGCUAACUCCUGGAAACGGUAGCUAAUACCGCAUACCAUCAGAUGUGCCCAGAUGGGAUUAGCUUGUUGGUGGGGUAACGGCUCACCAAGGCGACGAUCCCUAGCUGGUCUGAGAGGAUGACCAGCCACACUGGAACUGAGACACGGUCCAGAGUCCGACGGGAGGCAGCAGUGGGGAAUAUGGCACAAUGGGCGCAAGCCUGAUACAGCCAUGCCGCGUGUAUGAAGAAGGCCUUCGGGUUGUAAAGGACUUUCAGCGCGGAGGCGUUACCCGCAGAAGAAGCACCGGCUAACUCCGUGCCAGCAGCCGCGGUAAUAC
rnacentral:rRNA from 1 species